rnacentral:rRNA from 1 species
AGAUUGAACGCUGGCGGCAUGCCUUACACAUGCAAGUCGAACGGCAGCACGGGAGCAAUCCUGGUGGCGAGUGGCGAACGGGUGAGUAAUAUAUCGGAACGUGCCCAGUCGUGGGGGAUAACGCAGCGAAAGCUGUGCUAAUACCGCAUACGAUCUAUGGAUGAAAGCGGGGGAUCGCAAGACCUCGCGCGAUUGGAGCGGCCGAUAUCAGAUUAGCUAGUUGGUGGGGUAAAGCCUACCAAGGCGACGAUCUGUAGCUGGUCUGAGAGGACGACCAGCCACACUGGAACUGAGACACGGUCCAGACUCUACGGGAGCAGCAGUGGGAAUUUGGACAAGUGGGCGCAAGCCUGACUCCAG